rnacentral:rRNA from 1 species
AACGAACGCUGGCGGCAUGCCUAACACAUGCAAGUCGAACGAGACCUUCGGGUCUAGUGGCGCAAGGGUGCGUAACGCGUGGGAACCUGCCCUUAGGUUCGGAAUAACUCCCCGAAAGGGGUGCUAAUACCGGAUAAUGUCUUCGGACCAAAGAUUUAUCGCCUUUGGAUGGGCCCGCGUUGGAUUAGCUAGUUGGUAGGGUAAAAGCCUACCAAGGCGACGAUCCAUAGCUGGUCUGAGAGGAUGAUCAGCCACACUGGGACUGAGACACGGCCCAGACUCCUACGGGAGGAAGCAGUGGGGAAUAUUGGACGAUGGGCGAAAGCCUGAGCCAGCAAUGCCGCGUGAGUGAUGAAGGCCUUAGGGUUGUAAAGCUCUUUUACCCGGGAUGAUAAUGACAGUACCGGGAGAAUAAGCGCCGGCUAACUCCGUG